rnacentral:tRNA from 1 species
UGGAUUUUAGUUUAAAAUAAAACAAUUAAUUUGCAAUUAAUAAAUAUAUAAAUAAUUUAAAUCUAA